ensembl:lncRNA
GUUUAAAAUGUGGAGUAUUCAAACACCCUUUAGGUACACUGUACACUGAAGGAAAGGUAAACAACAGCGAAAGAAUGAAGCUUUUGUCACAGAAGUUGACCUGCCUGUCCUAAAUAUUAGUCUUGGUGUGACCAGCGUACAGUGCUGAUAUGGUUACAGGUCACAGUAUGUAUAUAAGAACGACCAGCAAACCAGUGUCAAAUCUCCAGCAAGCAUCUUCCCAACAGAACCUCUGCAUUCUCUCCGUGAAGAUGUUGGCAGCGCUGGUUCUGGUUUUGCUGGUGUUCAGUGUGACUGAGGGACGGAUCCUGAGUAAAUGUGAGCUGAAGGAGCAGCUGGAAGCAUCUCAGAUUCAGGUGAUUAGAUCCAUUGGAGACAAAAUGACCAAGGACAAACACAUUGCUAGACUUGUUUGUAAUGUGGAAAACACUUCCGGCUUCAACACCAGCCUCGUCACCAGCAUCCAGAUCAACCAAGAUGAGAUUAGACCUGCAUUCCAAAUUCCCCCCAAACCAAAGGAGGAAAAACCACCAGCAAAGGAAGAAGAUGAUGAGAAACUGGAAGAGGAACACAUAAUCCCUGUUAAACCACAAAGUCCUCCCAAAGGAAGACGUGCAAGAUCUGUCCCCGAGGGCAAGAUCGUUGAGAUACUAGAAGCAAAGGAGCCUCUCUGGACAUGGCGCCGUGGUCUCUUCCCAGACAAGAUCCCUGCAGACUCGUCUGGAAGCGGUCCAGAGGCGAUAUCCGAGGAGGACAGCUCCGGAGACAGCUCGGAGGAAGAGGGGCGUGAUGAUGUCAUCGCCUGGAACCUGUUGGGAAUCUUCCAGCUGAGCGGCCGUGUGGCCUGUGAUCCCGGAUCGAGCGCAUCGCUGAACCUUUGUGGUCUUGAGUGCAGCGCUCUCGUUGAUGAUGACAUCUCUGAUGACAUCGCUUGCUUGAAGAUUUUAGCGGGAAGCAGCAACAAGUUGUUGGCAAUGCUGCCGGUGAAGGAGUGUCGCUCUGUCCUUCCUUCCAAGUACUUCGCUGAGUGCUCCUAGAACAUCCAGGCGGAUGAAGCUUCUCCAUCUGAAGGCUGAAACAUCUUCACCACUCAACGGUGGAGCUGUUUUUCAAUCACAGGAGACUCAACACUUACAUUUUCGCACACUUAAAAACCCCAUGAUCUCAAAAUUGGACCCCUUUUUAAUGUAUAUCAGCUUUGACAUCAUUUAUAUGCUAAUGUACUCCUAAACACUAAGAAAAUUAACUUUUAUGCAUUUGAAAUCUUCAUCUUGCUGAAGUAAGAAUGUUUUUGUACAAUAAAAUGCUUUAUAGAAUAAAAAUAUACCUUUCA